rnacentral:rRNA from 1 species
UGGCUCAGAUUGAACGCUAGCGGGAUGCCUUACACAUGCAAGUCGAACGGCAGCACGGACUUCGGUCUGGUGGCGAGUGGCGAACGGGUGAGUAAUGUAUCGGAACGUGCCUAGUAGCGGGGGAUAACUACGCGAAAGCGUAGCUAAUACCGCAUACGCCCUACGGGGGAAAGCAGGGGAUCGCAAGACCUUGCACUAUUAGAGCGGCCGAUAUCGGAUUAGCUAGUUGGUGGGGUAACGGCUCACCAAGGCGACGAUCCGUAGCUGGUUUGAGAGGACGACCAGCCACACUGGGACUGAGACACGGCCCAGACUCCUACGGGAGGCAGCAGUGGGGAAUUUUGGACAAUGGGGGAAACCCUGAUCCAGCCAUCCCGCGUGUGCGAUGAAGGCCUUCGGGUUGUAAAGCACUUUUGGCAGGAAAGAAACGCCGCGGGUUAAUACCCUGCGGAACUGACGGUACCUGCAGAAUAAGCACCGGCUAACUACGUGCCAGCAGCCGCGGUAAUACGUAGGGUGCAAGCGUUAAUCGGAAUUACUGGGCGUAAAGCGUGCGCAGGCGGUUCGGAAAGAAAGAUGUGAAAUCCCAGAGCUUAACUUUGGAACUGCAUUUUUAACUACCGAGCUAGAGUGUGUCAGAGGGAGGUGGAAUUCCGCGUGUAGCAGUGAAAUGCGUAGAUAUGCGGAGGAACACCGAUGGCGAAGGCAGCCUCCUGGGAUAACACUGACGCU